CCUACGGGUGGCAGCAGUGGGGAAUAUUGGGCAAUGCGCGCAAGCCUGACCCAGCAACGCCGCGUGAAGGAAGAAGGCUUUCGGGUUGUAAACUUCUUUUCUGAGGGACGAAGAAAGUGACGGUACCUCAGGAAUAAGCCACGGCUAACUACGUGCCAGCCGCCGCGGUAAUACGUAGGUGGCAAGCGUUAUCCGGAUUUAUUGGGUGUAAAGGGCGUGUAGGCGGGAAAGCAAGUCAGAUGUGAAAACUCAGGGCUCAAACCUGAGCCUGCAUUUGAAACUGUUUUUCUUGAGUGCUGGAGAGGCAAGCGGAAUUCCGGGUGUAGCGGUGAAAUGCGUAGAUAUUAGGAGGAACACCAGUGGCGAAGGCGGCUAACUGGACAGUAACUGACGUUGAGGCUCGAAAGCGUGGGGAGCAAACAGGAUUAGAUACCCUAGUAGUC
rnacentral:rRNA from 1 species